AGAGGGUCAGUGGAAGCAAGGAGGUCAGUGGAUGGAUGGGAAGAUGGGUGGACAGGUGAAACGUCACAUGUACUAGAUGAGCCAGAGUAUCCUACCUAGUAUCCUCCAAGAGUGGUGCAGAGCACAGAGCAGUGGGGUUACCAUAUCUUAGGUGUGGAAGAGGCUUUGAAGGCUCACUAGUUAUCAUUUCUCAUUGUACAAGGAAGAAACAGUCUUCCCUCUCCCUCUGCCUAACCACUGAGAACAACAGAGUGUGUGACUGGCUUCCGUGGCAGGAGGAGCAGCUCUGUUUGCCUGGAGACCCUCCCACUGCCCCAGGACACUGAGAGGAGGGGCUGCUGUGCCUGUCUGUGCGGCCCUAACAUCAGCAUCCGAUGUCAACAGGGCGUUGAUGGGAGGACGGAGCGAGUGGAUCACAUAUGCGGGGAUCUUGGAGAAGAACGGAGGAUCUUGAGUAAACAAGAAGUGGAUGGGGGUGUCUCACCCCUCUGGAAAUCAUCUCCAAACCAAGCCCAGUUCACCCCCCAGAUGGCCUGACAGGAACAGACCUGGCAUCAUUCCUCCAUCAGUGAACAGAGUUAGUCUGUAAGCACCUGCAGGGUAGGGACAACCUCAGGAGUCCUGCAAGGCCAUCCCGGACACAGGACCCCCUGAUCUCAGGAAUGCAUUUCCACAGCCUUGGCUGAGCCCUCCCUGCUUGGUUUGUGCUGUCCCACCUCCCCGCUCUCUGUCUGUUUCCUUUCACAAGCUUGUUUCUUCAGCAACCCCAGGGAAUGAGACUAUAGCACAGCAAGUAGACCGUAGGCAGAAAUCCUCUGCAUUGUAAACAGGGUUGUAAAUGACACAAAUCACUGGGCUCAUCCUGCUUUGCUUUGGGUAUGCAUGUGUGUGCCUGUGAAUAGCAAUGUGAAACUCCAAGCAUACACGCUCACAUGCGGGAUCGUCUUCAAUGCCUGUGUGCUCAUCAGUGGUAUGCAGUACUGGGGUUAUUCCUGCACAAACUCUUCUGGAAAUAAAUAGAUGCCAU
rnacentral:lncRNA from 1 species